UACAGGGGGGGCAAGCGUUGUUCGGAAUUACUGGGCGUAAAGGGCUCGUAGGUGGCCAACUAAGUCAGACGUGAAAUCCCUCAGCUUAACUGGGGAACUGCGUCUGAUACUGGAUGGCUUGAGUUUGGGAGAGGGAUGCGGAAUUCCAGGUGUAGCGGUGAAAUGCGUAGAUAUCUGGAGGAACGCCGGUGGCGAAGGCGGCAUCCUGGACCAAUACUGACACUGAGGAGCGAAAGCCAGGGGAGCAAACGGG
rnacentral:rRNA from 1 species